rnacentral:rRNA from 1 species
UCAGCUUGUUGGUGAGGUAAAAGCUUACCAAGGCGAAGACGGGUAGGGGACCUGAGAGGGUGACCCCCCACAAUGGAACUGAAACACGGUCCAUACACCUACGGGUGGCAGCAGUAGGGGAUAUUGCACAAUAGGCGGAAGCCUGAUGCAGCAACGCCGCGUGAGUGACGAAGGCCUUCGGGUCGUAAAACUCUUUUCAAGAGGAAGAGGAAGGACGGUACUCUUGGAAUAAGCCUCGGCUAACUACGUGCCAGCAGCCGCGGUAACACGUAGGAGGCGAGCGUUAUUCGGAUUUACUGGGCGUAAAGGGCGAGUAGGUGGCACAUCAAGUUGGAUGUGAAAGCUCCCGGCUUAACUGGGAGAGGACGUUCAAAACUGAUGAGCUUGAGUAUGAGAGAGGAAAAUGGAAUUCCGGGUGUAGUGGUGAAAUGCGUAGAUAUCCGGAGGAACACCAGUGGCGAAGGCGAUUUUCUGGCUCAAGACUGACACUCAGACGCGAAAGCUAGGGUAGCAAACGGGAUUAGAGACCCCGGUAGUCCUAGCCGUAAACGAUGUAGACUAGGCGUUGGUUGAGUAAAAUCGAUCAGUGUCGGAGCAAACGCGAUA